AAGUUAGUGAGGUAUUUGCGGUGAAAGAGGUUCUUGCUACUGAGGAGUUGCAAAACAUUAUACAGAAGAAUAGCUGAAGUUGGGGUCUGAUUAAUAUGGCGUUAAACCUUUGCUUGACUGCUUUAGUGUCAAUAUUCCGCCUAUUGAAAAAGUCUUCCGCUCUAUUUGACAGUUGUGGGAAAGCUAAAUUCAAGGUGUUACAUUGUAAGUUUCCAUGACACCCUUUCUUGGACCAAGACGGAUAGCGUGAAGUUUUCUUACCUACUGUCUUAUCACGUGUAUUAAGAAUGUCAUUCAGUUAAAAACAUUGCUAUUUGGAUCGGUUUAAUUAUUCAUGCUGACUUAAUUACCACAUUUACGUAAAAUAUAUAGACUAAGAGUGUUUAGCUUUUGUGUACCUGGUGAAUUUUUCUCAGUACAUCAUCUUGUAAAUCAUAUCUAUACCUAUAAUCACCUGUUUAGAUUUGGUUGAAGAUA